UCUCUUGCUACUGUGUAUGGGGGAGCGUGCAUAUUUGUCUCACGACAUUGCGUGUUUAGUGGUAGCGAAAUGAAGGGCGCAAUAGAUAUUUCUUUCAUGAAUGGAAUUUUACUUUGCUGCUUCCUCUCCUCACUCUGUACUUUGAACAUCAAAUCUAGAUGCCUCAACAUUAGGAACGGGUAGGAAGCUGCAUAAAAUAAGAGGAGGGGGGGGAAGAGGGAGCCUCCGAUUUUAAAACUAUCAAAUACUUACGUUUGUAAGAAGUGUCUACGUGCUACAUUGAAAACAACGAAGUUUUGUCCGUUCAUAGUUGAUGGCCGCGGGCCCGCAAUUUUUUUUUAAAUUUAAAAAUACAUAAAGUAAGAAAUAGGGGUUAUAGAAAGAGAAGAGUUUCCUACGCUGUCUGUGGUAUGACAUUAAAAACAACUUUCUGGUGGUGACAAUGAGCGCCUCAAUGCCGUUUUAUUACUCACUUGACAUUGCGUUUGACCUGUUCGUCUUGACCCGGUGAACCAGAACCCCGCCCCGUACGUUGUUAUUAAAAAUGUCACAGUCAAAACUGAUCCUUGGCCCUUCUGGACAUCACUUCUGCCCUGCGCUUCUUCAAGUCGCGUGCGUCCCAUGUGGUCACUUGACCUGCACCGGUUCGAGUUAGCUGACCAUCUUUUGUCCACGUCCCACCUUAGCGAAGAUCCGCGUUGACCAUUAGUUUUGACUUCUUGACCUUUUCACCCGUUUUUUCCCCCUGUCUUUAGUGAUGCUCACCUGUCAUUGUAACUCACCCGCACUCGCCUGCCGACUCACUUCAGAAACUAACGACAGUUCCGACUUUACAUAAGCAAACAGUUGAACUGAACAUUGUUACUUUUCGUGACAUCAAUGACCUUUCUUAAAACAAAACUUGCGGAUCAAGCUUUUUGAAAUUGUGAGUGAAGACUAGUGAAGAGUACACAGUAGUCUUCUAAUACCAUUUGAAUGGCUUCCAUGUCUUGCCUGUCUACUUAUGAGAGAUCGUUAACUACUAGCCCAAUGUCUGAUCCAAAGAAAUAAACAUCUACUUCUCAAUUCACAAGACUUAACUUACAGUCAAAACGGGACCAAUACAUUAUUCAUAAAUUCA
rnacentral:sRNA from 1 species